CGAACUCUGGUAUUGAUUGGUGCUUGCAUCAUGAUUUACAUUUGAGUGAGUGGCGAACUGGUGAGUAACACGUGGGAAACCUGCCCAGAAGCGGGGGAUAACACCUGGAAACAGAUGCUAAUACCGCAUAACAACUUGGACCGCAUGGUCCGAGUUUGAAAGAUGGCUUCGGCUAUCACUUUUGGAUGGUCCCGCGGCGUAUUAGCUAGAUGGUGGGGUAACGGCUCACCAUGGCAAUGAUACGUAGCCGACCUGAGAGGGUAAUCGGCCACAUUGGGACUGAGACACGGCCCAAACUCCUACGGGAGGCAGCAGUAGGGAAUCUUCCACAAUGGACGAAAGUCUGAUGGAGCAACGCCGCGUGAGUGAAGAAGGGUUUCGGCUCGUAAAACUCUGUUGUUAAAGAAGAACAUAUCUGAGAGUAACUGUUCAGGUAUUGACGGUAUUUAACCAGAAAGCCACGGCUAACUACGUGCCAGCAGCCGCGGUAAUACGUAGGUGGCAAGCGUUGUCCGGAUUUAUUGGGCGUAAAGCGAGCGCAGGCGGUUUUUUAAGUCUGAUGUGAAAGCCUUCGGCUCAACCGAAGAAGUGCAUCGGAAACUGGGAAACUUGAGUGCAGAAGAGGACAGUGGAACUCCAUGUGUAGCGGUGAAAUGCGUAGAUAUAUGGAAGAACACCAGUGGCGAAAGGCGGCUGUCUGGUCUGUAACUGACGCUGAGGCUCGAAAGUAUGGGUAGCAACAGAUUAGAUACCCUGGUAGUCCAUACCGUAACGAUGAUGCUAGUGUUGGAGGGUUUCCGCCCUCAGUGCUGCAGCUACGCAAUAAGCAUCCGCCUGGGGGAGUACGGCCCGCAAGGCUGAAA
rnacentral:rRNA from 2 species